GGCAUCUCUACUGGCUGUGAAUUUGAUUUUUCAAUCAAAUCUAAUUCUGUGUGUGUCAGUCCUUCCACUUCUUAAACUUCAUCAAGUUUAAUUUUACAGACAUUAGCUCCUUCACCAAGAAACUCUUUUUCCAAAAAGACUGUCCUGUUGCUGACAAAUAUUUUUUGCUCUAUAGUGAGGUAGAAGUAAUGUCCUUUAAUUUUCUUUGGAUAUCC
rnacentral:lncRNA from 1 species